CACGUGAGUAUUCAUUGACUCUGGGUCCCAGAGUCGGUCUUCUACUCUGGACUUAUGCCCCUACAGUACUCCCAGACUCUGACUCUGGGAGCAGGGGCAUAAGUGCAGAGCAGAAGACCGACUUCUUGAAUCUGUGAAUCUGUGAAUCUUCGUG